GAUGAACGCUGGCGGCGUGCCUAAUACAUGCAAGUCGAGCGAACAGAUGAGGAGCUUGCUCCUCUGACGUUAGCGGCGGACGGGUGAGUAACACGUGGAUAACCUACCUAUAAGACUGGGAGAACUUCGGGAAACCGGAGCUAAUACCGGAGAAUAUAUUGAACCGCAGGGUUCAAGAGUGAAAGACGGUUUUGCUGUCACUUAUAGAUGGAUCCGCGCCGCAUUAGCUAGUUGGUAAGGUAACGGCUUACCAAGGCAACGAUGCGUAGCCGACCUGAGAGGGUGAUCAGCCACACUGGAACUGAGACACGGUCCAGACUCCUACGGGAGGCAGCAGUAGGGAAUCUUCCGCAAUGGGCGCAAGCCUGACCCAGCCACACCGCGUGAGUGAUGAAGGUCUUCGGAUCGUAAAACUCUGUUAUUAGGGAAGAACAACUGUGUAAGUAACUCUCCCCGUCUUGACGGUACCUAAUCAGAAAGCCACGGCUAACUUCGUG
rnacentral:rRNA from 1 species